rnacentral:rRNA from 1 species
UACGUAGGGUGCGAGCGUUGUCCGGAAUUAUUGGGCGUAAAGAGCUCGUAGGCGGUUUGUUGCGUCGGCCGUGAAAACCUGCAGCUUAACUGUGGGCCUGCGGCCGAUACGGGCAGACUUGAGUUCGGUAGGGGAGACUGGAAUUCCUGGUGUAGCGGUGAAAUGCGCAGAUAUCAGGAGGAACACCGGUGGCGAAGGCGGCUCACUAGCCCGGUACUGACGCUGAGGUGCGAAAGCGUGGGGAGCAAACAGG